GGGCCCCUCGGGGUCCCGCCCUGUCACAGCGCUGUGGUCUCCGCUCCUCCUCGCGCUGCUGGUGGUGCCCCGGAUCCGCCUUCCCUUCCGGUCCUCGGUCCUGGAGCCCCCGGAGGGGUCCCGUCGGCCCAGGGUCCUGAGUCUAGGCCGCGGAUUGUGCGCAUGAAAUGACGUCGGGAAGGGUGUCCCGCCUCGGGACCAGGCAUGUGCAGAGUCUGGGAGGCAGAUUGAGUUGGGAGUGAUGCCUCCGUCGUGUCUCAUGGUUAACUUACAGCGGGCGGGAGUCAGGACUGCAGUGGCCGCCCGAGGAGCUAAGCUUCCCCUUCUGAAGGUUUGAAGCAGAGGACCGGGGCAAUUUAACACAUUUUAUUCAGCGGGUUCCCUCUGCUUGCGGAGUGGAGACUGUGGAAGUGAGGCAGGAGGGAGGGAGCCUAGGGAGGAGUGUGAUCUGACAGCCUUAAGGCCCUAGUACUGGAAGUUACCGCAGAAGGCUGAGCCCAAGUUUGGAGGUGUUUGGGAGGCCUGGCUCUGGACACCACCAGAGAACUGGCUGGCUGGGAGUGUUGGGGGCCCUUCCUGCCAGACCCAUAGUUUACCUAGUAGCUAACUGCUCACCUGCCUGCUCCUGCUCUGGGCUGGACCAGUGACCAGAAAGAUGUGAAGAGACAGCAGGCACCGGUGAUGCCAACACUUGGUAUCUCCUCUGAGUAGGGAGGCUGGGGAGGGCAGGGACCCAGGGGUGCUUGUGUGAGCCGUGAGAUCUGGAUAGAGAUGCUGUGCUACCUGUGGGCUCUACUGUCCCCAUCACGGCAGGGCAGUGUGACCUUUGAGGACGUAUUCGUGUACUUCUCCCGUGAGGAAUGGGGUCUCCUUGAUGAAGCUCAGAGAUGCCUGUACCGUGAUGUGAUGCUGGAGAACUUUGCACUUGUGUCCUCACUGGGACUUGCAGUUUCCAGGUCCCAUGUGGUUAACCACAUGGAGUCGGAGGAGAGCGCAGGGUUCCUGAGAAGGUAGACACAUCUCCCGGCGCAGCAAAGAAGACCAGAAGGAGGCCUGGCCCUGGUGAGAAGCUGUGGGAAUCAGUUGCCCCUCAUACACACCCUAAUCAGGGAUUGAGCCCGCAACCUCGGUGUGUACCCUGAAUGGGAACCAAACCUGUAACUUUUUGGUGUACGGGACAAUGCUUCAACUGAGCCAUCCUGCCGAGGCUCCUUCCCUGUUUUGGAUGCUUUGCACACUUGUCAUUUCUACCCUGACCUCAGGUACCUGUUAGUCCCCCACCCUUCCAGUCCUCUGUCUCAGCUGUUCUUCUCUUGGUACUCAGUGCAGUGUUUUGUUUAAUGUGUCAGUUGUACACAUACCCUUAAAUUUUCCUUGAAGACUAAGUAUUCAGUUCCAGCCAGAUUUUUGUAGCCCUGGACAGAACCUUUGGCACAGCACUCAGCUGUCCCAAGGAACCAAGUUCUUGUUGGGAGACUAUGUUUCUCCUUUUUACACUGUUUCCAUUCUUGUAUCCUCUCCUCUGUGGCAUCUCCUUCAUUCCGUGACCUUUGAGUCCCACAGCUCUUCCUCAUCCUGAUUCUAGCUCCCGUGUUCUGCCCACAGUCCUGUGGACUAGUCCCUGGUUGUAUCAGACCACAUUUGUUAUGGGAUGUCACUUGUCACCCAUUAAUCAUACACUUCACCAGCAUUUAUCUUCCUCCAGAUUGCUGGCAUGGAGUGGAGGAUGAGGCUCCAUGUUCUGAGCAGGGUGUUUCUGUAAGAGUGUCACAGAUGAGAGCUCCAAGGUGGGGUUCUUCCCGACAAAAGUCUCACUCCUGUGACAUGUGUGGUCUAGUCUUGAAUGACAUCAUUGCACCUGGCUGAGCCACAGGGCAUACCAUCUGGGCAGCGACCAUCCAGCAACAUGUGAGUCACAUAAGGGAGACUUCUGGUUCAGUGUAAACCUUGAUCAGAGGUAGAAGCAGCAGUGUGAAGAGAAACUCUUUUGAAGGGGAAAGGCCAGGACUUGUUUGUGAAGAGCUGCAGGUCCCAUGUGUUAGAGAAAGCCUUCGCUUGCAGGGAGUGUCAGAAGAACUUCUGGAACAGCUCUGGGCUUGUCUAGCACCAGGCCCCUCACAGUGUGGGAAGCCUUCCUGGGCUAGUAUCUGUAAUGGGUCUGUGUAUAUCAGAUUCCUGUUAGGCAAGAAAGCAUAACCUGAGAUGAUAAAGCCUUCCUUUUCUCAGCCACCGCUGUAGAAGGGAGCCUCACUCCAGAGUCAGUUCACUUGGGGAGUCUCACAGGACUCCCAAUGGGGGUGAGCCAGGGAACAGUGAGAGCCAUCAGAAAAUCCGGUGACAGUUUCCCACAAGGAGAGUAUCCCUGCAAAGAUGAGCUCUGCACACAAUGGUGUGGAGACAGAUGAUAAUCUGUACUGGAGAGUUUUACAGGAAUAAGUCUCCAGGACAUGCUUUCCAUGAACAGAACUCACAUGGACAGGUAACACUUCCAUGGUCUACACAGGGAAGGAUCUCCACAAGUGGAAGGAACGUGGGGAACAUCUUAAGAAACGGUGUGUUAUGCCAUCAGCAGGUCAUACAUUACAGUCCUGUGACUGCAAUGACUGUGAGAAAGCCUUGCUCAUGAUGGCAGAGCUCUGUCAGCACAUGAGGAUUUGUACCCAGCAAGGCCAUGUGAGUACUUCCAGGGGAGGAAAGCCGGCAACCUCAGUCAGACCUUAUGCAGCACCAGCAGGUUCACACUGGGGAGAAGCCCCAGGAAUGCCAAGCAUUUGAAAGAGUUUUAACAGUUCUGCUUUUGUCCAAAAUACUAUUUGCCACUCUAGACAAAUUCUGUUUGAGUGCAGAAUAUGUGGGUGAGCCUUUUUGACAGCUGUUUUUUUUACUCAUCACAUGAGAGUUCUCAUGGAGAGAAGCCCUGAGUGCAAUGAAUGUGGGAAGGCCUUCACUUUUUUGUGUUUUUUUGUGGGGGGAGGUAACAGGAUCCACACUGGGAAAACCCUUUCGUGUAAAGAAUGUUGGAGAGCCUUUUGUGACAGUUCUUCCCUAACUCAGCAUAUGAGGAGUCACACGUGGGAGAAACCCUGCCAAUAUGGUGAAUGUGGACCUGCCGUCAGCUUUCAUUCGUCCCUCACCCAGCUUCGAAGUAUUCACAUUGGGGAGAAACCCUAUGAGUGUAAGAGAUGUGGGGAAGCCUUUUGCAAGUGGAUUUAACUCAGUCAGUUUCAGAGAACUCAUACUGGGGAAAAACCUUUUAAAUGUAACUCCCAAGGAAAAUCUUUUGACCAGAAGAAAUGUCUUACUCAACAUCUGGGAAAUUUUACCUGAGAGAAACUCCAUAAGUGUCAUCACUGGGAGAAAAUCUGAGGCCAGUGAUCACUUAAUGUCGUGGAAAUUGAACCAGUAUAGGACCUUGUUCUGCAUCUGAGAAUUUGUGAAGGAGAAACACCAGUGGUUAUUGUGCAAUUGCAGAAACCUUCAGCUGUAGCUCUACCCUUAGCACUGAAAAGCAAUCACAAGAAUAUUUAAAAAACAGACGAGUAGGAAGAAAAGUAGAUGUAACAAUAAAGAAUUGGCAUCUGUGGCUUCUUUUGGGUUUCCCUGACAAACCUGUGACAACUUGCUCUUGGUUGAUUUUGUUGGAUGGUGGGGAGCAGCAGGGUUUGAGAUACAAUGGCCUUGUCCCCAUCACCUGACUUAAUGUACAUGCUCUGCCAUCCUUGUUAGGAGCGCUGCUCACUUGAGAACAGCUCUGCAAAUAUUUAUUCAAAUCCUUUGUUGCAAAACGUUAUCUCAACCAUUGAGGAGCGUAAGUCUAAAAAUGUGAAGACUUCAUUUAUGAAGCACUUAAAAC